rnacentral:rRNA from 1 species
GCGGACGGGUGAGUAACGCGUGGGUAACCUGCCUUACACUGGGGGAUAACACUUAGAAAUAGGUGCUAAUACCGCAUAAGCGCACGAAGCCGCAUGGAUUUGUGUGAAAAACUCCGGUGGUGUAAGAUGGACCCGCGUCUGAUUAGCUUGUUGGCGGGGUAACGGCCCACCAAGGCGACGAUCAGUAGCCGGCCUGAGAGGGUGGACGGCCACAUUGGGACUGAGACACGGCCCAAACUCCUACGGGAGGCAGCAGUGGGGGAUAUUGGACAAUGGGGGGAACCCUGAUCCAGCGACGCCGCGUGAGUGAAGAAGUAUUUCGGUAUGUAAAGCUCUGUCAGCAGGGAAGAAAGAAAUGACGGUUCCUGACCAAGAAGCCCCGGCUAACUACGUGCCAGCAGCCGCGGUAAUACGUAGGGGGCAAGCGUUAUCCGGAAUUA